rnacentral:pre_miRNA from 1 species
UUUUUAGUAUAAGUAUUUCCUAUGCAAUAUUCAGGACAUAUAUUUAGUAAAA